rnacentral:rRNA from 1 species
AUUGAACGCUGGCGGCAUGCCUUACACAUGCAAGUCGAACGGCAGCAUGAUCUAGCUUGCUCGAUUGAUGGCGAGUGGCGAACGGGUGAGUCAUACAUCGGAACGUGCCCUGUAGUGGGGGAUAACUAGUCGAAAGAUUAGCUAAUACCGCAUACGACCUGAGGGUGAAAGUGGGGGACCGCAAGGCCUCAUGCUAUAGGAGCGGCCGAUGUCUGAUUAGCUAGUUGGUGAGGUAAAGGCUCACCAAGGCGACGAUCAGUAGCUGGUCUGAGAGGACGAUCAGCCACACUGGGACUGAGACACGGCCCAGACUCCUACGGGAGGCAGCAGUGGGGAAUUUUGGACAAUGGGCGAAAGCCUGAUCCAGCAAUGCCGCGUGUGUGAAGAAGGCCUUCGGGUUGUAAAGCACUUUUGUCCGGAAAGAAAUGGCUCUGGUUAAUACCUGGGGUCGAUGACGGUACCGGAAGAAUAAGGACCGGCUAACUACGUG